rnacentral:sRNA from 1 species
CUACUUUGGGGGAUGAGGUGGGAGGAUCUCUUAGGCCUGGGAGGUGGAGAUUGCAGUGAGCCGAGAUCACACCAUGGCACUCCAGUCUAGGUGAAAGAUUGAGACCCCAUCUCAAAAAAAAAAAAACAAAAAAGAAAAAAGUAGAAUUUAGGUAUUCCUACUUUUACAGUCAAAAGUCCACUGGUGUUUGCAUAACAAUGAUGUUUUGACUAGUUAUUGGACUAAAAAUAGGACACAUGAAGCAGGUGACUAGGAAUUUGGAAAUAUUAUUGCUUAGGUCAUUACUGGACCUUACGAAGAGAUUGAUGCACUGGUGACUUGGACUUUGCUGGUCCCUCCCCGACUCUUCACAGCUGGCUCGACGACUCUUGUGACAUUCUGAGGUUUUAUGCUAAACCACAGGACAUGCUGCUGAUUUGCAGAGCUGACCUCAGCUGUGACUUCUGGGGGAACAGAAAGCAUACUGAUGGCCUGCAAAGCAUAUCGGGAUCUGGCCUUUGAGAAGGGGAUCAAAACUCCAGAAAUAGUUGGAAGGGGCCACUGAGCUGAUGCUUGGCCGCUGUGUGAACAUUUCUGCUUGAACAUGUGUUGUGCCGGGAAGCCUUCUUCUCAUUCUCACUGAGUGUGGCUCCCCAAAGUGCCCAUGCUGCAUUUAACAAAGCAGCCAGUUACUUUGGGAUGAAGAUUGUGCGGGUCCCAUUGACGAAGAUGAUGGAGGUGGAUGUGCGGGCAAUGAGAAGAGCUAUCUCCAGGAACACUGCCAUGCUCGUCUGUUCUACCCCACAGUUUCCUCAUGGUGUAAUAGAUCCUGUCCCUGAAGUGGCCAAGCUGGCUGUCAAAUACAAAAUACCCCUUCAUGUCGACGCUUGUCU